UACAGAGGUCUCAAGCGUUGUUCGGAUUCAUUGGGCGUAAAGGGUGCGUAGGUGGCGUCGUAAGUCGGGUGUGAAAUUUCGGAGCUUAACUCCGAAACUGCAUUCGAUACUGCGGUGCUUGAGGACUGGAGAGGAGACUGGAAUUUACGGUGUAGCAGUGAAAUGCGUAGAGAUCGUAAGGAAGACCAGUGGCGAAGGCGGGUCUCUGGACAGUUC
rnacentral:rRNA from 1 species